UUCCACUGUGACACAGAAGCUCUGAGUUCCAAACCCAAGUCUCACAAUCACUGCACUGUCCCUCCCUGAAGCACAUAGAUUUCACACACUGCCAGGGGAAGGCGGACGGGUGGCAUCAGCAAUUCAAGAUGAUAUUUCCUACUCUCUUCAGUGCCUCUUUCAGUGAUAUGAAGUAAAAGCCAGGAAGAGAAACUGCAUAAGACAUCAAGGGAAAGGACAUAAAAUCCUGGAGAGCCUAGAGAGUGAAGGUGAUGCAAAGACAGAAGUGGAGAGAGAUUUGAAGAUGCCAUGUUGCUGGCUCUGAAGAUGAAAGAAGGGGACAUGAGCCAAAGAAUGUAAGGGUUAUGUAGCUGGAAAUGAAAAGAAAAAAGUCUCUCCCCUGGAGCCUUUAGAAGGAACUGGCCCUGCCAACAAUUUGAUUUUAGCCCCAUAAGUCUCAUUUUAAACUUCUGAUCUUCAGAAAUGUAAAAGGAUAAAUUUGUGUUGUUUUAUGCAACUAAAUUUGUAUAGUAGCAAUAAGAAACUCAUACAAUAUACAUACUUGAUGACUAAUUCUACUCCUAGAUAUGGGCCCAACAGAACUGCAUACAUAUGCAUACCA